GGGAAUGUGGCUCAGUGGUAGAGUGUUUGCCUAGCAUGCAUGAAGCGUGGAGUUCGAUUCCUCAGUACCA
rnacentral:tRNA from 1 species